rnacentral:rRNA from 1 species
CCUACGGGUGGCAGCAGUGGGGGAUAUUGCACAAUGGGGGAAACCCUGAUGCAGCGACGCCGCGUGUGGGAAGACGGUCUUCUGGAUUGUAAACCACUGUCCCCAGGGACGAAAAUGACGGUACCUGGGGAGGAAGCUCCGGCUAACUACGUGCCAGCAGCCGCGGUAAUACGUAGGGAGCAAGCGUUGUCCGGAAUUACUGGGUGUAAAGGGAGCGUAGGCGGGGAUGCAAGUUGGGUGUCAAAACUACCGGCUAAACCGAUAGUCGCACUCAAAACUGCAGCUCUUGAGUGAAGUAGAGGCAGGCGGAAUUCCUAGUGUAGCGGUGAAAUGCGUAGAUAUUAGGAGGAACACCAGUGGCGAAGGCGGCCUGCUGGGCUUUUACUGACGCUGAGGCUCGAAAGUGUGGGGAGCAAACAGGAUUAGAUAUCCUGGUAGUC